GUCAGGUUUCCAUAGGAAACCAUGCUGUUGGAAGCUGAUUCUUCCAGAGGUCUAACACUAGCCUCUGUAAGUCAGGAAGGCAGCUUAGCAGGCCCACUGGGAAGUAGCAGAUGGAUAGGAAAAUGACAUGCUUUCCAAAAGUAUUUAAAUAUCAACUCUCUUUUGUUACAGCUGUGUAAGAGCCAUAUAAAAUCAAGUAACAUGUAGGAGAGAAAAGGGGUCAUGAAGGAGGAGUUUGAGCAAAAAGUAAUGCUAAAAAAGAAAAAAAAAUCCAUUGCAAAUGGUAAUGUAAAUAAGGUAAAACUUGAAAACUAUGAAGCAAUACUGCAGAUAGUCAUGUCUGAAGGAAUACCUAGAGGGUUCUUUUUGGUGGUGAUCUUCACUCCUGGAUCUGAAUUUUUCUGGACUGUCUCCCUUACCACUUCUGCAGGACACAAUUGCAACAGAAUUUUCCUUGAAUCAACGGAGGACUAUUACUUGAUGAGAUCAUUGUUUUCAGGAAGUGUUAUAGAAAUGCGAUUACCAGACACUGAGGUUUUUUAACGUAUAAAAUAGGAAAGAGAGAGGACAAGCUGUGGUGAGGAAAAUGCAAGCAUUGUACAACUCAACAGACCUCCUGUCCCAGAGAGAUUUAUUUACUGGAAAUUACGACAAUGAUUUAUGGGCAGCUGGAAUUUGCAUGCAUUGCUCCGAAUCUGUGGAAGAAUCUAUGUGGUUGUUCAUGGCCUUCAGAAACAUGGAUGCUGCAAAGCAGAGCUAUGGAGAAUAUGGAAAGCAGGCUCAAAAAGCAUCUGCAAACCUGUGCCAAUAUUACUGCCUCUGUCAUCAAGCAAUGGAAAGGUUUUUCUAGUUAAAUUCAAGUAAUUAAAUCUCCCUGCUCUCAUUAAAAAAAAUACAACUGUCUGCUGCUGGUCUGAAGAAUUGCACAGAGUGAACGUAAAUUUUAAUUUCAUGGUGCAAGUGUUAAAUUAUUGCCAUCUAAGCUGUCUGCCAGUGUUACAUGAAAUCCCACCACAUUUUAAUAAUUCUCCCUUUGUUUUGGAUGGAAAUACCACGUGUUGUGAUUUGGAAGUUUUUAUGUGCAAUUAGAGCCCUGAGAACUACAACAUAAUCACAUUCAAUUCACCUAAUUGGACAGCGAGGAAACUGUCAUUUCUGAAAUGGUUUGUGUCUUUUGGAAUGUCUGUGUGUAUACACAUGUGUAUAAAAUGAAACAUUUUCUCACCCAUCCUGUGUUAAAAUGUAAUAGAAACUCCUGCUAACUGAAGUUGAAGACAUAGCUGGGUGUUCUUUAGUAACCUCAAAACAUAUACGUGUGCGUGUAAAUAAAAAACUGUCCUUCUAAACACAAGGAUCCUUCCCUCGUACUUACUUUGCAACAUCUUAGUAAGGAUUUGCCAUCAAUUCCCUCUCUUUACAGUGCAUUUGAUGACAUUUUACAGAUCAUCAUACUAAAUAAGUAAGAACCAUCCUCUCUGAUUUAGAAGAAAAACCUUUAUUUAUUUCAAUUUAUUUUGGGAGUUCAGAAGUAAUGACAAACUUGACAAUCUUCAUGACAAACAUGAUAAUCUUCACAUCACUUUAAGCUGUGUGACCAAAAAGCCAUUAGCUUCACAGAAACAGACAAUACAUUUCAUCCUGAAACAACACUUAUGAUCAACAUUUAUGCAAUCUAUAGGUACUUCCUAUAUUUGUAUCAAUGCAAGUAAGAAGACAUGGAGUAUCAAACCAGCAAGGGCUUAGAAAUAUCAAGCCCAAGAGUUUACCCAUUUACUUCAGUGGAAAAUAGUGCUAGUAAAUAUCAAUACAUAUUUUAAUCUUUUAUUUCAGUAAUUUCCAUGUAAAAGCAAACAUAUUCUGCCAACUUUAUUCAUUGUCUUUGAUCUUUUUUUGAAGCAUAUUAUGAUAGAUUUCUGAAUCUUUUAAUUCAAUGUUGAAGUAGAUAUUAAGUAUAUCACAACACCAAUCCACACUAAAUAGAACUUUUGUUUUUUGUUCUUUUGCUGAAAUGUCUGACAGUAUUUCAAGAAUAAUUUAAUUAUGAACUUUAUAUUAACAAAAGACAAGUGAUUUUUUAUUCCAUUCAGUGUGGAAUAAGAUACUACCUAUAUUUGUUAAGCCCUGUGUAUCAACCAGAAUUUGCAAAGGGAAGUUAUCAACUUCAGAUACUCAUUCUCCAUUUCCCAUAAAUAUGUUAAAAAUACAAAGUCAGCUCCUAAGUUUUUCAUCAAAUAAACUAGCUUAUUAAGAUUAAGUGGCCUGAAACCACCAUCUGUGAGUUCACAUUUAUAUCUAGAAAACCUGUAUAAUCAUGUGUAUUGAGAGUAAGGCUUAGUGUUGGAAGGCCCAACCUUGUAAACAAGCUUUGUUUACACAAGAAGACAAUAGGACUCUUCUUUUGUUUCAGAGUUUACAUGUUCAGAGGCUGAGAUCACUAUUUUUGAAAUGUGAUGAUGGGAAUACAAAGUAAUUACCUUUAUGAAGGUUUUACAAAGAAUCCUGUAAGUAAAGCCCAUGACAGAAAUAUAUAGUGUCUCCAAAGAAACAAUUAUGAUGUAUUGUGUUUGAAUAAUAACUCAGAAUGUUUUAUCAUCAUCUGUUUACAUAAUAAGUCAUAAUAACUUUUCAAAAUAUGGUGCUUGCAUUUUUAUUAUUGUUUUAAGUGUACAUAGGGGAAUUACUACAGCCUAGAAUCAUAAACUUUGUAAAACUUUGUUGAAGACUGCAUUUUUAUUCCCAUCCUCUUCUGCUCAAACAAAAAUGUAAAGGAAACAACACACAAAUAAAAGUACGCUAAAAUAAUCCCGUGUGUCUGGCUAAAAGAAAAGACAGGAAAUUCUUAAAAGUGUGGUUAUAAACUGAAAAAUGCCUUUAAACAUGGCUUCCUACUGUCUCACAUUUAUAUAUUCAUAAUUAUUUCACUAUCAAUAUUUUCUUUGCUUAUAUGUACACAAAUUACAUUAUUCAACAUGCCAAGACCACAUUCUCAGUCUGAUAUCUGGAAUACAAAGCCCUGUUGUCACUGGCUUCUACUACAGUGUUAAAGAUGGAACUGAGAGAAAUUCCUAGAUUCCCUCUCCUGGAAACUUUAUGAUUUAAGCCUACUUCUGACCUUUAGCAAUAUUUCCUUGAGGAGACUGAGGUCCAAAUUAAACUUUCAGGAAUUACAAGAGAAAUUUCAAUGAACUCUAGAGAUGCCAGAAAGACAAAUGACAAAAGUAGUUAAAGCAAAAGUGCUGAGCACGUCUUAAGUGCUUCAAUUAGAACUCUUGUUCCCCACAGGAUGUUCCAGAAAGGUGUAGAGGUGCUCACAGACCCUCACAAUGGUUUCAGACAUCUAGCCCACAAAGUAGAAUCCAAAGCCAAGAUUAGAGAGCUGUUACCUACAGAGAACAGAUGAUGUUAUGUGAGAGGACUAACAAAGUAGAAACAUUAUGGAGUUAUCUAGAAUCUAACUCAUAAUUUUGAAAGUCAGAUAAUGCCAACCUAUGUAGUUGAGGCACUCUGUCACAGUGGAAGACUGUGGUUAUUUCCAUCCACUCAGUGUCCACAGACCAUCAAGGUAAUUCAAUUUUUGUUUCAAAGGCUCCGUUUUUUUAAAAAAACAUAACCACUGUUGAAGAUGAGAUGUUAAUAAUGGAACAUAGGAUUAUUCUUAGUUCUACUAUUUACUGAAAAAUAGACAUACAAACUGUGUGGGGCAAAGACAAAGGCCAGAAUCCUGCUUGCUCCAUAAAAAUUGUUUCCUUCCUCAUUUAUCUCCUUGAAUCUUAAUGAGUUUUGCAGUUGUAGUGCACAUCUGUACAGCUAUGUAGACUAGCCUGGGACCCAGUGGGUAAGGUGUGCCUCCUCAGAAAUUAGAGUUUAAAAUACCUGAGGUCAAAGCAGAUGUAAAAAGUUGUCUCCUUCUGAAAGGUUUCCAGUUUUAUUGGCAUAUACUACGUUUGUCUGAGUGCACUUUCCAGGUCUGUGCUAUAAGCUAACACUACCAUUUAUCUUCUGGAUUCCCAGACUGUUUAAGUCAGACAGAGGUACAUGCCCGCUUCACCCUGAGCCCUUCUGCGAAUGGUCAGAAACAGAAUACUGUGUGAUCUCAAAAAGAUUCAGAGCAAACAUGGAAGACAGUUAUGUUUAAAUGACACUCUGGUUGGGCAGACACUGAACGCAGGGUUUUCAAGUCACAGUUUCAACAUAGACACCUUAAACCUUCCAGUAUUCUAUUUUAGGUUUGUUCUUCAUUCUUGCAUCACAGCAGGAGUUGUACCCUUUAUCAGUGUUGAUGUCUUCUUAAAAGAGGGUCUGUGACCGCAUUUGAAGUAUCUCUACUACCAGUUGUGGUGAUUUCACCCUGAUGUGCAGCUAAACUACUACAUCAUUCUCCUGUUACUCCUACUCAAAGGAAGAGGGGGAGAAAAUGAAAUGAAAAAAGGCUCAGGGUUUGAGAUUACCGUCACUGAUCAGUGAUUAUGAGAAUAAAUAAACAUAGUGUGGAAAAAUCUUUGUAUAGUCAUUAAAAUACCCAAGUGUGGCAUUCUAGUAGAGAUUUAAUAAGGAGAAGAAACUGACCCUCAGACUUAGGAAUUCAUUUUCUUUACUUUUCUACAAGGACAGACAUACAUCUCUCUAUCUAAUUUAUAUAUACAUACGUAUAUAUAAAGCAAAGCUUUUAAAGAAUUUUUAUUUAUCAUUGUAAAAUCUCUACUUAGAAUUGGAAAGAGAUAGAAAAAAAAAAAGUAGACUUUGAUUAUCACCUUGAUACAUCUAAGUGUUUACAGUGGGAGCUAAGCUGUAGCAUAGCAAUGUAAUAAAAAUAGAAAGUAAAGUGACGUAAAAAGUGCACUGAGGACUACCUUAUAACUAAUUCCAAACGUUCAAGAAUAGUAAAUGGUUAACAGUGAUGCAAAAGGAAAUUACAGAAAAAACAAUCAAAAAGGACUCCUAAACAAUGAAAGGAAACAAAAAAUUAAUAAAGCAGAAGACUGAAAAACAGAUAAGGAGAGCAAAACGGUGAAAGAUUUCACAGAAGAUUAUGAAAUUAGCACAAAAAAUUUUUAAACAAUCCUAAGAAUAAACUGUCAUUGAAGAACAGAAUAGGGAUUGUGGAGGAUCAUUUUUUAAGGGAUGAGGUAAAAAAAGAUGGAAAAUUUAAACAAAUUCUUCGCAUAGCUGUUCAGAAAGAAAUGUCAGCUCGCAGAGCUGUAGAAAUAUAGGUACAUAUUUUCUGGAGCAAAAGGAAGGAUAAAACACCUAAGUAAACACACACUGUAUGUGACAUAGUACAGAUGACAAUCUUAGCAUGUAUCACAUAAAAUAAUUUCUCAGUGCUAAAGCAUAUGCACUUCAGAAUUCACAGAAAGGGACAAAAAACAGCAUCACUCUUCACAAGACUAAUUUACAUCACUUCACCAUUCAGAUAACUUUUCCUUUUCAAAAUGUUGCUUUGAAGUCACAUGGGCUACUUACAUGACUGACAACUCUAGGACUGCAGUGAAAAAGAAGUUUCAGUGGAAUUAAAGAAAAAGUAAUGGGAAGUGUGCAGGAGGUAUCUGUGCAAAGAAGGGCCCCAUGCAACUCCUCUCACAGCUUGUCUCUAAAAACUCAAGAACUGGGUUUAAAUGAGAGAAACACCUUGUCUUUCUGGCAAGUUUUAGCAAUGCCUUCUAUGCAGGAAAGCAAUUUGCUUCAAGACCAAACAGAAAUGCACACUGGUUAAGAGUGAUAUAUUACAAAAACAACAGAGCAUAGCUAAAUUCAGCAAAUUAUGAAGCAAUGGCUAUUUCAGUGAGAGUCAGAGAUUCGUCUAAUGAGAUCCAGGAGUUUCAGCUCUGAACAAAAAGUGAUGAAUUCAAGCUUAAAUUCCUACAAGUAACCCCUAUUCUACAUUAAAGGUAACCAUCCAUCACAUUUUUAACUACAUCUACAAGGGAGUUCAGUAACUUCAGUCUAAAAAAUUCAAAACACAGACAUAUUUUCAGCCAAAACAAAGCCAGAGCCAGCAGUAAUUUUAAUUCUUUUCACUAAGUAUUGUUCUGGCCAUAAGACUAUGUGUAAAAUGGAUGUGGUUGAAGCCACAAUGGACUGUAAGGUUUAUAGGAUGAACAAGUUGCUAAGGAAGAGCUUGCAUGCCUAAAAACUUACAUUAUUCCAGCUGGAGUGCAUCCUGUAACAACAGUACUUCUUUAUUCUUCCAUAUCUUCCCUAAAAAGCUGAGCGCUCUGGCUGAAGACAGGCCAGGAGAGGCGCAUGGAUGUUUGCCUUCUUCAUGUUGCCUGAAAACCUAGUCCUUGUCUCAUCUGGGAACAGGACAGUCAUGCCAAGUGGAUGCAUCUCCCUGCAUCUGUGGAGAGACAGCAAAUGUGCUGUCUGGAAAGUAUCUGUGUUCUAGGAGGUGAGAAACUGGCUUGGGCUGUUUGAUUUCACUUCUACUCAGAGAAAUGGGGCAAUGAACUUUCUAAUAAACAGGUUUGGUUCACAGAGGGAUGACUCCACCAUCGAUCAUUCCACCAGAGGAAUAACUCAAGAUUCGAAAAUUUUAACCAGAUAAUUUUAUCAAAAGAAUAAUAAAAAAAAAAAAAAAAAAAAAAAGGACCAAGUAAUGACUUAAAACAAUUGCUGUGAUAUUACAUGUACAUAGGAUCUACUGGCCUAUAUGUCAGUUUUAAUCUGCCACUGGUUAAAUCCUACAUACUGAGCAAAAUAACUUACCAACACAAUACAUGCAAAGUAAAUAAAUACUCAAGCAACACUCUAUGUCCCACAUCCACUCAGAUACCAGAAGUGUGUAUUUCCAGUCUGUGAAAUACAAUGAUAAGUAAAAACAGUGAUUCUCCAUGAGUGCAUUACUCAGAAGAAGCAAUGUUAAGGCAGUCAGUGUGAUCUUUAAAAAUCACUCCCAGUAAAUAAAUAAAUAAACACCUCUACCUGCACAGCUAUCUGAAGACAAGUUAACAAAUUCUGUUUUCCACUUAUUAGCAAAUCAGUUGUUCUGUAAAGAAUACAUGGUCAAAACCUACAGCAACAGCUGGCACAUGUAUAAAGCGGGGCAAAAAGAUUAAGAUGAAGUAUUUCUGACAAAAAAAUAUAUGAAACAAAACAAAGUUGAAAACUGAAGCAGAUAUCAGAUAACCAUUUUGGCAUUUAUAAAAUACUUUUUCAGGACAAAAGGGGUUGCCAUACCUUUUCACUCAGCAUAUCCUCAGAGUCACAUAUUAAGCUGAUCAAAUCCGAGGGUACUGCAGUAAGCUGAAGCUUGAAGCUGCCUCCACUUCCUUCAUUUCGUUUACAGUUUUGUUUGGGGGUUGUUCUUUUUUUUCUUUUUAGCUUGCAGAAACCUGAGGGAAAAAAAUAUUUUGGGGGUUACUAUCGAAAUAGUUUAUUCAGUAGUCAAUUAACUGAAAAAAACAAAUAGUUCUAAACUGAUCUCUUAUAUACCAUGCCCCUUUUUAUAUCAUAGUUAUUGGUUCCAUUCUGUUGUUAUAUUUUACUGAAAACAUUAUGAAUAUAAAUGAGAAUAGUGCACAAAGAGCAGAGGUGAAGAUAUGUCCCAUUAGAAAUCUGCUUUUUUACUUACAUUUACUGAGGUUAUCAAGUACCUCUUUAUGAACUCUUCAUCCCUUUCUAAAAGGUAAAGUUGAAAUUGGGAAAUAUAUUGCAUCAGUUAUUGGGCAUUCUGGGGUUUUCCAUUAUUUUAAAAACCUCCUAUGUGCCUAAUUAUAGCUAAUAAGUACUGUUUAGAAACAUAGCAGAGAACUCAUGAUUUCCUUCUUCACCCAAUGCCCAGAAAAUCCAUGUCCGAGAACAAAAUCUUGAAGGUAUUUGUGAUCAUGACCCAUUCUCAUUAUCUGUAUCCAUUCUAAGAUUUUUAUAUUAUAUGAAUGAAUAUUUUAAAGUGAAAUUAUAGUAUUCAAUGGCAAAUUACAACUACAUGUGACCAAGAGAGGAUUAAACCCAUCAUUUUGCUUAAGAGCUCUGAUGGCUGGAGUAAUUGGAUGAUAGCUGUAGGGCAUCUUUUUGGUCUGUAAUUAGGUCAUUUCUUUCUCAUCCCUUCACUGUGUGUAUAAUUACGAAUUAAUUUGAAAUCCCACUGUGAGUAAAGAAAGUCAGUUUAAUAUAACGGAAGUGCAAAAGCCACAAUAUAUUACUUUUUAAAAACUGCUUAUUUCAAAAUACUCAGUCUGGCCAAAAGUUAUAUCCCUAUGUACUGCAAGGCUUAUAUUUGGUUUCUUUGCUAACUUUGUACAAGUGCUGCUCUGAAAGUAAUGCCUCCUGUUUUAUUAUGUUGGUGUACAAUGUCAGAGGUGGAUUUUGGUGGUACAUCAGUAGAGGUUGAACCUUCACACCAGUAUUCCACUACAUUUUGUUGCUGUGUGACAGAUGGCAGCAGAGGGUCAGUCUGACAAAAUGGCUUCUGACACGGAAGCAUCUGAGAAGAAAAGAUGUGGAACUGAAUUCCUCCAUGUGGUAAAAAAAUUGCAUCCAUUGACUUUCACUGAUGCUUGCUGAACAUUUAUGGAGAUCAAACAGUGAAUGUGAGCUCAGUGAGGUUGUGGGUAAUGUGUUUCAACAGCAGUGAUAGUGGCAGUGGUUCACCUCCACCGGUGCAAAUUUUUACAAGAACAGCAAGCAGGUUCUCGUUCAUCGUUGGCAAAAAUGCAUAGCUAAUGACAGUGAAUAUGCAGCAAAAUAAAGUUUGUAUUUGAGAAUUUUCUCUAUGAAAUAGUGUUAUUGUGCUCUUUGUAUUUGUUGCAGUUUCUAUGGAAAUAAACAGCAAGUAUUACUUUUGAAUCAAUCUACGUUCCUGGAUGUAUUUUCUCUCUUAAAAUAAAUGAAUUUUCAAAGCACC
ensembl:lncRNA